UACGUAGGGUGCAAGCGUUGUUCGGAAUUACUGGGCGUAAAGCGCACGUAGGCGGGUUUACAAGUCGAUUGUGAAAGCCCCGGGCUCAAUCCGGGAAUGGCAGUCGAAACUGUAAGUCUUGAAUACCUGAGAGGGUGACGGAAUUCCUGGUGUAGAAGUGAAAUUCGUAGAUAUCAGGAGGAACACCGGAGGCGAAGGCGGUUGCCUGGCAGUGUAUUGACGCUGAGGUGCGAAAGCGUGGGGAGCAAACAGG
rnacentral:rRNA from 1 species